CAGCACCCAGGCCCUGAUUUCAAGCCCUAUGACAGACCAAAAAUAAAGCCAGAAGUGGAGGUAUAACUCUAGUGGUAGAAUCUCAGCUUUGUGCAAAAAAGUCAGGUGAGACUAUGAGGCCCUAAAUUCAAUCAAGUCCCAGUACUCACAUACACACAAACAACAAAAAAAUCUAUGAAUCCCCAGUAUUGUACUGACUCAGGAACUAAAGAUUCCCGUAUAUAUAUAUGCUCAACUUACAGGGUUUUUGUUUUCCUUUCUGGCAUUUCAAAAAUGCAAAUCCACCCACCCCCCCAAAAAAAAAAAAAUCUUUCCCUACAACAAACCUUUCCCUAAGCAACAAGUUUUAAAACAAAAAACCUCAUAAAAUAAGCUUUUAGAGCACACUCUAUUGAAACUUGGGUUAACUUUCCAAACUUCUGUUGAUUUUCACUAUGUGACUGCAACAGAUAUAAUUCAAUGUUUCAUAUAUCCUAAACUUGGCACAAAACUAAAGCCAGAGAUUUCCUUUUACUGAAGCAUCUACUUUCAAUCUCCUUUAGAGCACCUUAAGUUCCCUACCACCCCCCCACAUACACUACCCUCUUCCCUAUCCCUAUGUCUUUUAUAGGCAUGCUAUUUUAUCCUACUACUUGAGGUGACUAGCAUUAUCUUUGCUUGAAAAUUCUGUUUAUUAAUUUGCCCGUCAAACAUUCUAUAGAGCCGUUUACAUCUCACUACAGAAACCUCUUGGGUACAUAUUGACAGCUCAGCAAGUAUUUACACAAAGCUCUGAAACAUUUGGUUCCUUCAGAGAGGAAGAAGCUGCUGUGUCGAGUAGCGAAUUACCAAAUACCUUUCCUUCUCUUUUCCCUCUUUUAUGGAAGGAAGCUUCCCUCUAGCAUAACUCCCAUAUGUCUAAAUUACACUUCUAAACUACUAAGCCAGAAGGUGAAAGAAUGGAAAUUCAGGUGUGCCGGAGAAAAGAACGAACAGCAUUUUCAAGACCACAUGCACGCAAACCAUACCACAUAGCUUCUUAAACCAAAAGUAUGGGAAAAGAUACAUAUGCCUAUAGAAUUGAUCUUGGAGCAGUUAGCUUUUCCUGUUCUAGGCUCAGGAACUUUUGCUCUUCUCUUAGCAAAACUUAGAGGGCAGUCCAGGCACUCAGAUUUCAACCAACUGCCCAGGUACCCAGACCUGCCCAAACUACAGUAAGAGUCUCAAGAGUUAAAUGUCACCUCUCUCUAUACACUAACUAGAGUGUUAAUGUUCAAUUCUAUGUCUAUCUACUCCCUAUUCCACUCCCAAGUAUAAAGCCUCCCGGGCAUAUCUAGAAGCAACUAUUUUUCAAGUCUUGCCUUAAUGAAGUCUACUAAAUUUUUCAAUUACUGUUCAGUGUUUUAAAACCACCACCCAAUGGGGAUAUGGCCUAGUGCUGGUGGUUCACACCUAUAAUUCUAGCUACUCAAGAAGCUGAGAU